UCAUACAUGCAAGUCGAACGGAGAUGUGAGGGCUUGCUCUUAUAUCUUAGUGGCGCACGGGUGAGUAAUGUAUAGCUAAUCUGCCCUACACUAGAGGACAACAGUUGGAAACGACUGCUAAUACUCUAUACUCCUUCUUUACAUAAGUUAAGUCGGGAAAGUUUUUCNGNUGUAGGAUGAGGCUAUAUCGUAUCAGCUAGUUGGUGAGGUAAUGGCUCACCAAGGCUAUGACGCGUAACUGGUCUGAGAGGAUGAUCAGUCACAUCUGGAACUGAGCACACGGUCCANGACUANCUACGGGAGGCAGCAGUAGGGUACAUAUUGCUCAAUGGGGGAAACCCUGAAGCAGCAACGCCGCGUGGAGGAUGACACUUUUCGGAGCGUAAACUCCUUUUCUUGGGAAAGAAUUAUGACGGUACCCAAGGAAUAAGCACCGGCUAACUCCGUGCCAGCAGCCGCGGUAAUACGGAGGGUGCAAGCGUUACUCGGAAUCACUGGGCGUAAAGGACGCGUAGGCGGAUUAUCAAGUCUUGAGUGAAAUCUAACGGCUUAACCGUUAAACUGCUUGGGAAACUGAUAAUCUAGAGUAAGGGAGAGGCAGAUGGAAUUCUUGGUGUAGGGGUAA
rnacentral:rRNA from 1 species